GAUGAACGCUGGCGGCGUGCCUAAUACAUGCAAGUCGAGCGAACGGACGAGAAGCUUGCUUCUCUGAUUUUAUCGGCGGACGGGUGAGUAACACGUGGAUAACCUACCUAUAAGACUGGGAUAACUUCGGGAAACCGGAGCUAAUACCGGAUAAUAUUUUGAACCGCAUGGUUCAAAAGUGAAAGACGGUCUUGCUGUCACUUAUAGAUGGAUCCGCGCUGCAUUAGCUAGUUGGUAAGGUAACGGCUUACCAAGGCAACGAUGCAUAGCCGACCUGAGAGCGUGAUCGGACACACUGGAACUGAGACACGGUCCAGACUCCUACGGGAGGCAGCAGUAGGGAAUCUUCCGCAAUGGGCGAAAGCCUGACGGAGCAACGCCGCGUGAGUGAUGAAGGUCUUCGGAUCGUAAAACUCUGUUAUUAGGGAAGAACAUAUGUGUAAGUAACUGUGCACAUCUUGACGGUACCUAAUCAGAAAGCCACGGCUAACUACGUG
rnacentral:rRNA from 1 species